CUUGGCUCACUCCGAGUAGGCCGAUGUGGUACUUCUUCAGGGACGUCGGAUGUGCUGUCUGAGACAUGCUGAGAGUCUAACACAUCUUGUGAAACUUAUGUCAUGCUACUUCUUUGAACACAGAGAACUGAACUCUGACUCGGGCAGGGCACGUCACAUUCAUCAAGGCGACGUCAAAGCUUCAGCCCACGUGUUCCUUAAUCAGGUCACAUUUAAGGGAACCCAUCUUGUGUGGAGCACAAAGCCCGGUUAUGGAAGUGCCCAUGUCACUGGUGCCAUAAUAUUGGAAGACAACUCAUUAUUUAUCCAAAAAGACGGUUUAUAUUUCGUAUAUUCCUCUCUGACGUUUAUUGUACGUCGUGGUGACAUCACAAGGAGACAUGUGACAUAUUCGUUAUUACGUCACAAUCCACAAUAUUCUCCUGUGCCAGACAUUUUACUACUAACAAACGUUAGUCUUCCUCAUGGAGUGGGACUGUUCACGGCAACAACUUUAGAGGAAAGCUUUUCCUUGCGGCGUGGGGAUGUUCUGUCCGUCCACGUGUCAAACUAUUCUUAUGUUUAUCGGUUUUCUUCAUCAAACUAUUUUGGUGUUCGCCAGCUUUAGCACAAAACCUCAGAACACACCUGUGUUCAGAUAUGUACAGUUAUUAUAUAUCACGUAAACAAUAAAAAUAAGAGAAAUGU
rnacentral:misc_RNA from 1 species